rnacentral:rRNA from 1 species
ACAUGCCUACAACAUAGCGUUAAUGUACUGGAUCCCAUUAGAACUCCGCAGUUAUGUGCGCUUAGGAUAGAUUAGUACUGGGAUGGGUGACCACCUGAGAAGUCCUAGUGUUUUACAUGCC